GUGCUCACUUUGGCAGCACAUAUACUAAAAUUGGAAUGAUGCAGAGAAGAUCAGCAUGGUCCCUGUGCAGGGAUGACACACAAGUUCAUGAAGCAUUCUGUAUUUUU
ensembl:snRNA U6 U6 spliceosomal RNA